rnacentral:lncRNA from 1 species
CAAGAGCAAUGGCGGUGGCCAGAGGACAUACGUUCAGGGCCGAGUCAUUGUCCAGAAGGACAGAUGGAACUCGGCGACCUGAACAACCAACAGAUAUAUAGAGAGGACGCGUGUGGUCUGAACCCUCUGGCGGCAAGUCGUCAUCGGAAAAGACGAUACAAGUGGCUCUGCCAGCCGUCAUCAUAUGAAUGAGUCCCUUGGGAGUGGUCGUGGUAUCAACUCUGAUCUGGCUCAAAGCUCGAGUCAGUGCAUCCCGAUGAGUACU